rnacentral:rRNA from 1 species
UACGUAGGUGGCAAGCGUUGUCCGGAUUUACUGGGCGUAAAGAGCGCGCAGGCGGUCAGAUAAGUCGAAUGUGAAAGCCCCCGGCUCAACUGGGGAGGGUCAUUCGAUACUGUUCGACUCGAAGGCAGGAGAGGGAAGCGGAAUUCCCGGUGUAGUGGUGAAAUGCGUAGAUAUUGGGAAGAACACCAGUGGCGAAAGCGGACUUCUGGGUUGUUACUGACGCUGAGGUACGAAAGCGUGGGGAGCAAACGGG